CCUCCCUCUCUGCUCCCAGCUGUUAAGAGCUCAGUGUUGAUCAGAGGCUGUCCAGGCCUUUCAGAGCCACUGAACCACCAGCAGCACAAUGAUGAUGUUACUGACUCUACUGCUGACCAUCCUGGAGCUCCUGGUUCAGGGUUCAUCAGGCGACAUCAAUCUGAGUCAGGCUCCAGUAUCUCAGUCUGUUGUUUUAGGACAGACUGUCUCCAUCAGCUGUAAAACCAGCUCCAGUGUUGGCAGCUGGCUCAGCUGGUACCUCCAGAAGGAUGGAGAGUCUCCUAAACUUUUAAUCUAUAGAGCUUCAUCUCGUCAGUCUGGAAUUCCAGGUCGUUUUAGUGGAAGUGGAUCUGGAACUGCUUUCACUUUAACAAUCAGUGGAGUUCAGGCUGAAGAUGGAGGAGUUUAUUACUGUCAGCAGUAUAACGACUACCCGCUCACACAGUGAAACAACGUCGUACAAAAACCUCCCA